GGUCUUAUAUUCAAUUAUGAUUUUAAAUUGCAAAUUUAAAGGUAAAAUAUUUUUAAGGCUU
rnacentral:tRNA from 1 species